CCUACGGGAGGCUGCAGUGAGGAAUAUUGGUCAAUGGACGAGAGUCUGAACCAGCCAAGUAGCGUGAAGGAUGACUGCCCUAUGGAUUGUAAACUUCUUUUAUCAAGGAAUAAAACGAGGCACGUGUGCCUUUUUGCAUGUACUUUAUGAAUAAGGAUCGACUAACUCCGUGCCAGCAGCCGCGGUAAUACGGAGGAUCCGAGCGUUAUCCGGAUUUCUUGGGUUUAAAGGGAGCGUAGAUGGGUUGUUAAGUCAGUUGUGAAAGUUUGCGGCUCAACCGUAAAAUUGCAAUUGAUACUGGCAGUCUUGAGUACAGUUGAGGUAGGCGGAAUUCGUGGUGUAGCGGUGAAAUGCUUAGAUAGCACGAAGAACCCCGAUUGCGAAGGCAGCUUACUAAACUGUGACUGACACUGAUGCUCGAAAGUGUGGGUAUCAAACAGGAUUAGAUACCCCUGUAGUC
rnacentral:rRNA from 1 species